rnacentral:lncRNA from 1 species
AAGCAGAAGAUGGAGCAGAUGAAAGAGAUGAGAGGCUGUGAUGCCCACCUGAAGCCCUGCUGGAGAGGACAGCACUCCGAGGAGUAGCAGAGGAACCAGAUGGAAGUAGCCAUGGUCUGGGACAACCUCAUGUAGCAAAACGGCCCUCCUGGCCUGGACAGACAGCUGAGGGUGCAAGCCCCGAGAAAUGCGAGCCAUGGCUCUUCAUGGCUGAAGGAAUUGGUCACCUAACACUGACACGGUCUGGAAGAAUUAUUUUGAAGUAAGUACAUUCCUUCUACUUCCUACACUAUGUUAAGUGUCAUCCAGUCUCCUCAAGAGAGAAUGGCGGAACUUGGGGGUCAGCUGUG